ACUGCAAGUCGAGCGGAAGAAGGGAGCUUGCUCCCGGAUGUUAGCGGCGGACGGGUGAGUAACACGUGGGUAACCUGCCUGUAAGACUGGGAUAACUCCGGGAAACCGGAGCUAAUACCGGAUAGUUCCUUGAACCGCAUGGUUCAAGGAUGAAAGACGGUUUCGGCUGUCACUUACAGAUGGACCCGCGGCGCAUUAGCUAGUUGGUGGGGUAAUGGCUCACCAAGGCGACGAUGCGUAGCCGACCUGAGAGGGUGAUCGGCCACACUGGGACUGAGACACGGCCCAGACUCCUACGGGAGGCAGCAGUAGGGAAUCUUCCGCAAUGGACGAAAGUCUGACGGAGCAACGCCGCGUGAGUGAUGAAGGUUUUCGGAUCGUAAAGCUCUGUUGUUAGGGAAGAACAAGUGCGAGAGUAACUGCUCGCACCUUGACGGUACCUAACCAGAAAGCCACGGCUAACUACGUGCCAGCAGCCGCGGUAAUACGUAGGUGGCAAGCGUUGUCCGGAAUUAUUGGGCGUAAAGGGCUCGCAGGCGGUUUCUUAAGUCUGAUGUGAAAGCCCCCGGCUCAACCGGGGAGGGUCAUUGGAAACUGGGAAACUUGAGUGCAGAAGAGGAGAGUGGAAUUCCACGUGUAGCGGUGAAAUGCGUAGAGAUGUGGAGGAACACCAGUGGCGAAGGCGACUCUCUGGUCUGUAACUGACGCUGAGGAGCGAAAGCGUGGGGAGCGAACAGGAUUAGAUACCCUGGUAGUCCACGCCGUAAACGAUGAGUGCUAAGUGUUAGGGGGUUUCCGCCCCUUAGUGCUGCAGCUAACGCAUUAAGCACUCCGCCUGGGGAGUACGGUCGCAAGACUGAAACUCAAAGGAAUUGACGGGGGCCCGCACAAGCGGUGGAGCAUGUGGUUUAAUUCGAAGCAACGCGAAGAACCUUACCAGGUCUUGACAUCCUCUGACAACCCUAGAGAUAGGGCUUUCCCUUCGGGGACAGAGUGACAGGUGGUGCAUGGUUGUCGUCAGCUCGUGUCGUGAGAUGUUGGGUUAAGUCCCGCAACGAGCGCAACCCUUGAUCUUAGUUGCCAGCAUUCAGUUGGGCACUCUAAGGUGACUGCCGGUGACAAACCGGAGGAAGGUGGGGAUGACGUCAAAUCAUCAUGCCCCUUAUGACCUGGGCUACCACCGG
rnacentral:rRNA from 1 species